UUGAGCUCUUAAUUCUCUCCUGCCUCUCCCCCACCUAUGGAAAGGCAGAAAAUAUGAUGUCAGCCAUACAUAGGAAACCAUUGUUUUGUUUUUGCAAACACUUGCUCUGAUGUUCAAUGAGAGUGACAGACAGAAAGAGAGGGAGAGAGAGCGAGCUGGGGAGAGGGAAGAGGAAAGAGAUAAAGAAAGAAGACAGAGGGAGAGGAAGGGACUUUUAACUUUAGUUUUAAAAAAAUUGAGUUCUUAAUUCCCUCCCGCCUCUCCCCCACCUAUGGAAAGGCAGAAAAUAUGAUAUCAGCCAUACAUAGAAAACCAUUAUUUUGUUUUUGCAAAUACUUGGUCUGAUUGUUCAAUGAGAGAGACAGACAGAAAGAGAGGGAGAGAGAGAGAGCUGGGGAGAGGGAAGAGGAAAGAGAUGAAGAAAGAAGACAGAAGGAGAGGAAGGGACUUUUAACUUUAGUUUAAAAAAAAUUGAGUUCUUAAUUCCCUCCCGCCUCUCCCCCACCUAUGGAAAGGCAGAAAAUAUGAUAUCAGCCAUACAUAGAAAACCAUUAUUUUGUUUUUGCAAACACUUGCUCUGAGUGUUCAAUGAGAGAGACAGGCAGAAAGAGAGGGAGAGAGAGAUGGAGAGAGGGAAGAGCAAAGAGAUGAAGAAAAGGGACAUAGGGAGAGGAAGAGAUUUUUAGCUUUAGUUUUUUAAAAAAAUGAGUUCUUAAUUCCCUCCCGCCUCUCCCCCACCUAUGGAAAGGCAGGAAAUAUGCUAUCAGCCAUACAUGUAAAAUCAUAUCAUUAUUUUGUUUUUGCAAACACUUGCUCUGAUGUUCAAUGAGAGACAGAGAGAGAGGGAAGAGCAAAGAGAUGAAGAAAAAGGACAGAGAGAGAGGAAGAGAUUUUUAGCUUUAGUUUAAAAAAAAUUUGAGCUCUUAAUUCUCUCCCGCUUCUCCUCCACCUAUGGAAAGGCAGAAAAUAUGUCAGCCAUACAAAGGAAACCAUGCCAUUAUUUUGUUUUUGCAAACAUUUGCUCUGAGUGUUCAAUGAGAGAGACAGACAGAAAGAGAGGGAGAGAGGGAGAUGGAGAGAGGGAAGAGCAAGGAGAUGAAGAAAAGGGACAGAGGGAGAGGAAGGGACUUUAAACUUUCGUUUAAAAAAAAAUUGAGCUCUUAAUUCCUUCCCGCCUCUCCCCCACCUGUGGAUAAGGCAGAAAAUAUGAUAUCAGCCAUCCAUACGAAACCAUGCCAUUAUUUUGUUUUUGCAAACACUUGCUCUGAGUGUUGAGUCAGAGAGACAGACAGAAAGAGAAGGAGAGAGAGAUGGAGAGAGGGAAGAGCAAAGAGAUGAAGAAAAGGGACAUAGGGAGAGGAAGAGAUUUUUAGCUUUAGUUUUUUUAAAAAAUGAGUUCUUAAUUCCCUCCCGCCUCUCCCCCACCUAUGGAAAGGCAGGAAAUAUGCUAUCGGCCAUACAUGUAAAAUCAUAUCAUUAUUUUGUUUUUGCAAACACUUGCUCUGAUGUUCAAUGAGAGAGACAGGCAGAAAGAGAGGGAGAGAGAGAGAGAUGGGGAGAAGGAAGAGCAAAGAGAUGAAGAAAAGGGACAGAGGGAGAGGAAGGGACUUUUAGUUUUA